ACGCCCGCUCAAGAACUACAAUGAAUUGACGGGGCCCGCACAAGCGGAGGAGCAUGUGGUUUAAUUCGAUGAUACGCGAGGAACCUUACCUGGGCUCGAACGUAAGAUGACUGUAGGUGAAAGCUUACAUCUCUUCGGAGCAUUUUACGAGGUGCUGCAUGGUUGUCGUCAGCUCGUGCCGUGAGGUGUCGGGUUAAGUCCCAUAACGAGCGCAACCCUACCUUUAGUUGCCAUCAGGUAAUGCUGGGGACUCUAAAGGAACUGCCUACGCAAGUAGUGAGGAAGGCGGGGAUGACGUCAAAUCAGCACGGCCCUUACGUCCAGGGCUACACACGUGCUACAAUGGCCGAUACAGAGGGCAGCUACCUGGUGACAGGAUGCAAAUCUCCAAAGUCGGUCUCAGUUCGGAUCGGAGUCUGCAACCCGACUCCGUGAAGUUGGAUUCGCUAGUAAUCGCGCAUCAGCCAUGGCGCGGUGAAUACGUUCCCGGGCCUU
rnacentral:rRNA from 1 species